GGCAUGCAGUCGAACGCGAAAGCCCCUUCGGGGGUGAGUAGAGUGGCGAACGGGUGAGUAACACGUGGGUAACCUGCCCCUCGCAGGGGGAUAACCGGGGGAAACCCCGGCUAAUACCCCGUACGCUUGCUGGGGCGCAUGCUCCGGCAAGGAAAGGUAGCUUCGGCCAUCCGGCGAGGGAGGGGCCCGCGGCCCAUUAGCUAGUUGGUGGGGUAACGGCCCACCAAGGCGACGAUGGGUAGCUGGCCUGAGAGGGUGGUCAGCCACACUGGGACUGAGACACGGCCCAGACUCCUACGGGAGGCAGCAGCCAGGAAUCUUGCGCAAUGGGCGAAAGCCUGACGCAGCAACGCCGCGUGGGCGAUGAAGGCCUUCGGGUCGUAAAGCCCUGUUGUCGGGGACGAAGGGCGAAGGGUUAAUAGCCCCUAGCCUGACGGUACCCGACGAGGAAGCCCCGGCUAACUACGUGCCAGCAGCCGCGGUAAUACGUAGGGGGCGAGCGUUGUCCGGAAUCAUUGGGCGUAAAGAGCGUGUAGGCGGCCCGGUAAGUCCGCUGUGAAAACCCGGGGCUCAACCCCGGGCGUGCAGUGGAAACUGCCGGGCUAGAGGGCGGCAGAGGCGAGUGGAAUUCCCGGUGUAGCGGUGAAAUGCGCAGAUAUCGGGAGGAACACCGGUAGCGAAGGCGGCUCGCUGGGCCGUUCCUGACGCUGAGACGCGAAAGCUAGGGGAGCGAACAGGAUUAGAUACCCUGGUAGUCCUAGCCGUAAACGAUGGGCACUAGGUGUGGGGGGAGUCGAAUCCCUCCGUGCCGCAGCCAACGCGUUAAGUGCCCCGCCUGGGGAGUACGGGCCGCAAGGCUA
rnacentral:rRNA from 1 species